rnacentral:rRNA from 1 species
UACACGCUGUGACUAGCAUAUCAAUAAGCGGAGGAAAAGAAACUAACAAGGAUUCCCCUAGUAACGGCGAGUGAAGCGGGAAGAGCUCAAAUUUGAAAUCUUAAAGGGUUUCCCUUUAUGAAUUGUAGUUUAAAGAAGUGUUUUCUGUUGAGGUUUUGGUAAAAGUUCUUUGGAAUAGGACAUCAUAGAGGGUGAGAAUCCCGUAUUUGACCUUUACUUUCAACUUUGUGAUACACUUUCAAAGAGUCGGAUUGUUUGGGAAUGCAGUCCAAAAUGGGUGGUAAAUUUCAUCUAAAGCUAAAUAUUGGCGAGAGACCGAUAGCGAACAAGUACCGUGAGGGAAAGAUGAAAAGAACUUUGAAAUGAGAGUUAAACAGUACGUGAAAUUGUCAAAAGGGAAGCGUUUGACACCAGUGUUGUUUUUCUGAAAAUCAAUUAAAGAACUGUUUAUGCUAAGCUUGUUUAGACUUUAUCAGCUAUCUGUUUAGUUUUGAGCUUUUCUUUAAUGCACUUUUCAGUUAACAAGUCAACAUCAAUUUCUUUUGCUGUAAAAAAGCUUGAGGAAGGUGGCUUGAGAUUCGUCUUAAGUGUUUAUAGCCUCUUGCCUAUGCAGUCGGAGAGAUUGAGGUCUGCAGCGUAGAUCCUUCGGGGCUAAAUGCAUUUGUGCUAAGUUAUAAGCAUUUUAUAGACAACUUGUUGACUAUGAUUUGUCUCGUAGCUUACUCGCUUAUGUUAUUUUACCUACGCUUAGGAUGUUGACGAGACUGUCGAUCUC